UACGUAGGGUGCAGGCGUUAAUCGGAAUUACUGGGCGUAAAGCGUGCGCAGGCGGUUUGUUAGGUCCGUUGUGAAAGCCCCGAGCUCAACUUGGGAAUUGCAGUGGAUACUGGCAGGCUGGAGUACGGUAGAGGAAGGUGGAAUUCCCGGUGUAGCAGUGAAAUGCGUAGAUAUCGGGAGGAACACCAGUGGCGAAGGCGGCCUUCUGGACCAGUACUGACGCUCAUGCACGAAAGCGUGGGGAGCAAACAGG
rnacentral:rRNA from 1 species